GACGAACGCUGGCGGCGUGCUUAACACAUGCAAGUCGAACGGAAAGGCCCUGCUUUUGUGGGGUGCUCGAGUGGCGAACGGGUGAGUAACACGUGAGUAACCUGCCCUUGACUUUGGGAUAACUUCAGGAAACUGGGGCUAAUACCGGAUAGGAGCUCCUGCUGCAUGGUGGGGGUUGGAAAGUUUCGGCGGUUGGGGAUGGACUCGCGGCUUAUCAGCUUGUUGGUGGGGUAGCGGCUUACCAAGGCUUCGACGGGUAGCCGGCCUGAGAGGGUGACCGGCCACACUGGGAAUGAGACAAGGCCCAGACUCCUACGGGAGGCAGCAGUGGGGAAUAUUGCACAAGGGGCGAAAGCCUGAUGCAGCAACGCCGCGUGAGGGACGACGGCCUGCGGGUUGUAAACCUCUUUGAGCAGGGAAGAAGCGAAAGUGACGGUACCUGCAGAAAAAGCGCCGGCUAACGACGUG
rnacentral:rRNA from 1 species